ACCGUAGAAAGGUUGGCAUUAUUGAAACUUUCUGAAUCGCGUUGUCAUCUUUCAUUUUGCCACAUUAUCAAGACCAUUUUCUUCUUUCCGACUGCGAUUACAAGGAAAAAAUACGAUUAGUUUCGACUCACUGCAUACGACAAGAGGGUUUUUCAAACGGGUGCUCUUCAUUUAGUCAAUGUUGUUUUAUUCAUCAAUUAAUUUAACAUGAUAAAAGCAUGGUAUAGGAGUUAUAUGGUACGCGUACUUCCCAGAGCCGUCGACUGCGAAAAUGGGACGAAAAUUGGAAUCGUCAACAUCGGCAACUCUGGCCGGGUGUGUAACUAGAGGGCCUACUUUAACGUAGGCUCUUAUGGGACUACCCCUUUUUAAUGGUUAUAUUAAGGUGUUUGAAUUUUUUUUUUCAUUUAAAAAAAUGUGUAUCGUGCGUAGAAUUAAUUUUUAUGCAAAGUCCAUUUUUUGGAAUUUAAUUUAAAAAUGCUUGUAUAAUAAAAAAAAAAUUAAAAUGGUCCAAGAAUUUCUGAAAGUCUUUAACUUUCCACUUCUGCUAGACAGUUCCACAUUAUAUAUAAAAAGCGGAAUUUGUUCUUUGGAGCAGUUACGUUGCGUCUCGUUGGACGUAGAUUGUUUACAUUUUUGCUGGUCGAUUCGCCAUUGUUUGUAGCCCUAAUUUCAAAAACGGUAACGAACAGUGGCAUUUACACAUAGUGGCAGUGAAAGUAAAUGUGAGGCAGUGGUGGUAAAAGUCUGCUGUUAGGAGUUCUUCAGUAGUCUGCAAGGUCGACUCAUAAUGAAUACAAUUCAUAAAGAAUAAUUUUAAUUGAAGAGUAAAGUCAUAAUGUUGCAGUCAUCAUAAGUAAAGUAUUCUCUUCACACUUGUCACAAAACAAUGAAUGUCAUUUUGUCCAAAUUCAACUCGAACAAAUGAAAACAUGAAACUAGUCGGAACUAAUACACUUUGAUAUUAAAAAGGAA